rnacentral:rRNA from 1 species
AGAGUUUGAUCCUGGCUCAGGACGAACGCUGGCGGCGUGCCUAAUACAUGCAAGUCGAGCGGACCGGGCGGGAGUUUGCUUCCGCCUGGUUAGCGGCGGACGGGUGAGUAACACGUGGGUAACCUGCCCGUAAGACCGGGAUAACUCCGGGAAACCGGGGCUAAUACCGGAUAACACCGAAGACCGCAUGGUCUUCGGUUGAAAGGCGGCUUCGGCUGCCACUUACGGAUGGGCCCGCGGCGCAUUAGCUAGUUGGUGAGGUAACGGCUCACCAAGGCGACGAUGCGUAGCCGGCCUGAGAGGGUGACCGGCCACACUGGGACUGAGACACGGCCCAGACUCCUACGGGAGGCAGCAGUAGGGAAUCUUCCGCAAUGGACGAAAGUCUGACGGAGCGACGCCGCGUGAGCGAAGAAGGUCUUCGGAUCGUAAAGCUCUGUUGUUAGGGAAGAAGAAGUGCCGUUCGAACAGGGCGGCGCGGUGACGGUA